GUGGCAGACGGGUGAGUAAUGCAUAGGAAUCUACCUAGUAGUAUAGGAUAGCCACUAGAAAUGGUGGGUAAUACUGUAUAAUCCCUGCGGGGGAAAGAUUUAUCGCUACAUGAUGAGCCUAUGUUAGAUUAGCUAGUUGGUAGGGUAAAGGCCUACCAAGGCGAUGAUCUAUAGCUGGUCUGAGAGGAUGAUCAGCCACACUGGAACUGAGAUACGGUCCAGACUCCUACGGGAGGCAGCAGUGGGGAAUAUUGGACAAUGGGCGCAAGCCUGAUCCAGCUAUGCCGCGUGAGUGAGGAAGGCCUUAGGGUUGUAAAACUCUUUCAGUGGGGAAGAUAAUGACGGUACCCACAGAAGAAGUCCCGGCAAACUCCGUGCCAGCAGCCGCGGUAAUACGGAGGGGGCAAGCGUUGUUCGGAAUUAUUGGGCGUAAAGGGCAUGUAGGCGGUUCGGUAAGUUAAAGGUGAAAUGCCAGGGCUUAACCCUGGAGCUGCUUUUAAUACUGCCAGACUCGAGUCCGGAAGAGGAUAGCGGAAUUCCUAGUGUAGAGGUGAAAUUCGUAGAUAUUAGGAGGAACACCAGUGGCGAAGGCGGCUAUCUGGUCCGGUACUGACGCUGAGGUGCGAAA
rnacentral:rRNA from 1 species